rnacentral:rRNA from 1 species
CUAUACAUGACUCUGCGCAUAUCAAUAAGCGGAGGAAAAGAAACUAACAAGGAUUCCCCUAGUAACGGCGAGUGAAGCGGGAAGAGCUCAAAUUUGAAAUCUUCAAGGUUUUACCUUGACGAAUUGUAGUUUAAAGAAGUGUUUUCGGUUAGAGGAGUGGUAAAAGUUCUUUGGAAUAGGACAUCAUAGAGGGUGAGAAUCCCGUAUUUGGUCAUUCUUUCUAGCUUUGUGAUACACUUUCAACGAGUCGGAUUGUUUGGGAAUGCAGUCCAAAAUGGGUGGUAAAUUUCAUCUAAAGCCAAAUAUUGGCGAGAGACCGAUAGCGAACAAGUACCGUGAGGGAAAGAUGAAAAGAACUUUGAAAAGAGAGUUAAACAGUACGUGAAAUUGUCAAAAGGGAAGCGUUUGACACCAGUGUUGUUUUUCCCGAAAAUCAAUUACGAAUGUUUUGUUUUGAGAAGUUAUGACUUCAUCGGCUUGCUUCUCUCUUUACGAAACUUUCUUAAUGCACUUUUCGGUUAACAAGUCAACAUCAAUUUCUUUUGUUGUAAAAGGGUAUGAGGAAGGUGGCUUUCUUUUCGGAGGAAGUGUUUAUAGCCUUGUGCCUCUGCAAUCGGAGAGAUUGAGGUCUGCAGCGUAGAUCCUUCGGGGUUAGAUACGUUUGUGCUAAGUUAUAGCUUUUCAUAGACAACUUGUUGACUAUGUUUAGUCUUGUAGCUUACUCGCUGACGCUAUUUUACCUACGCUUAGGAUGUUGACGAUCAGCUGAGCGCG